UAAAUUGAAAACGUGUGGCGUGACCCUUGUGUCGGUUCUAGAAGCCCACUCAAAAUCUCUUAUCUACCCAAAAUUCAAGCAGAAAGAGCCAACCCUUCUAGAUUACUAUAAUUAAUUAACCAUUAUAAUUGUCAUCAUUUCAUAUAUAUAAUUGAUGAUUUUUUGUAUACCUCCAAAACCCUCAGCACCCACUUGCCUUGAUUUUUCUUAGUAGAUUGGCAUAUAUAAAUCUAAGACAUCAUACCCACUUGCUUCCCAGAAACAGAAGAAUAUGGGUAUGUUUUCUAAGUCUCCUCUGCUUUUUCUACUUCUUGUACUCUCAAUUUCCUUCCCCCAGAAACCAAGAAUCACAGAAGCAAGAACGCUUUCUUUCCUAGCUGAACAAAACCAUUCGAAGAUUUUUGCUACUCUGGGAGUUGUUUGCAAGUGCUGUGAUGGCGGCCAAGGUGAAUGUACAAGAACAUGGAAGAAGGGAUCUUGCCAUAAGCUUCAAUGCCUUCCUUGGAAGAUAGGCUAAAAAUUGUUUAAUUUCCUUCAAUUUUGUAUUUUUUUCGUGCUUGUACAUAGCCAUAUGCAAUGAAGGAAACAAUCUUGAGCCUGUUUCAUAUA